rnacentral:lncRNA from 1 species
CUGAGACCAAAGGAGCCAUGCCAGGAAAGUUAAAGCGUAUCUUCAUUUUUAAGUCCAGGCUAAAGUAAGGUGAGAAAACUUAUGUAAAGUAUGCUGAACUAUAGUUUCCCCAUGAAGAAAUGUUCAAACGUCCUACUUCCUGUCCUAGCUCCAGAGCCUGAAAAGGUCUGAGGAAAAGAAUGAGCUGCAUGAGAAAGAUAGGAACAGAUCAUCAAAUCUGAUUGUCCGGGCCAGUGUUGCAUCAUAACAGGCCACUUUAAAAUGAAGUGAAAUUGACAAUUGUGAAUUUAACCUUCCUUGAUUACUACAUUGUUAACUCUAGGAACUAGUAUCUGGUCCUUACUACAUUGUUAACUUGUAGACCUGUGUUUAUGUCUAGCAAUAAAUGCUCUUUAUGCUA